UUUCUACUUCCUUCGUUCCGAAUUACUUGUCGUAGGUAUAGAUGUAUCUAGAUGUAUUUUAGUUGUAGAUACAUCCAUUUCUGCGACGAGUAAUUUGGAACGGAGGGAGUAGUAU
rfam:Triticum aestivum genome assembly, contig: Triticum_aestivum_CS42_TGACv1_scaffold_473293_6AL